rnacentral:rRNA from 1 species
GGCUCAGGACGAACGCUGGCGGCGUGCCUAAUACAUGCAAGUCGAACGGUCUUUCUAUGGAAGCUUGCUUCCACUGAGAAGAUAGUGGCGAACGGGUGAGUAACACGUGGGUAACCUGCCCAUAAGAGGGGGGAUAACAUCCGGAAACGGGUGCUAAUACCGCAUAGUUUUCUUGGUCGCAUGAUCGGGAAAGGAAAGACGGCCUUUGUGCUGUCGCUUAUGGAUGGACCCGCGGCGUAUUAGUUAGUUGGUGAGGUAACGGCUCACCAAGACGAUGAUACGUAGCCGACCUGAGAGGGUGAUCGGCCACAUUGGGACUGAGACACGGCCCAAACUCCUACGGGAGGCAGCAGUAAGGAAUCUUCCGCAAUGGACGAAAGUCUGACGGAGCAACGCCGCGUGAGUGAAAGAAGGUUUUCGGAUCGUAAAACUCUGUUGUCAGAGAAGAACAAGUUGGAGAGUAACUGCUCCAGCCUUGACGGUAUCUGACCAGAAAGCCACGGCUAACUACGUGCCAGCCGCCGC